UGAGUCACAAUGAAGGUGAUGAAGAAGCAGAAGCAAAGACAGGUCCAUUCAAUAAGCAUAACGCCCGCCCUCACAGGGUGAGGAACAGUUGGCCCAGCUGUGGAGUCUCUGAGCUGGAGCAAGGCAGAAGGGCAUGCCCAGGAAAAGCAUGCAAGGUAAUAGUUUCAGAACAUCAGAAACUGGGUUGCAACCCUUGUGAUUAAGCAGGGCCUUGCUUCGAUGACUGAUGAGUCUCCAGCCCACACAGGCCCCUGGGACAUGAUGGCUGCUGCCAGCCCUAAUCCAGAGCUAUAGAUGCUGGUGUUGGACACACGUGGAGAUCCUGGAGCGUGCUCUUGACUUGUGGAACUGGAGACCACCUCAGGCCUGGAAGCCAGCCUCAACUUCCUAAGGCUUCCCACGUCCUGACGAUGUAAAGGCACUGAAGGAAGACAUUCUCAAGCUACUGGCCAUUGGGAUGGUGCUUGAUUUCCUCCUGUUCCUACCAUGGGAGGUCCAGCUGGACUAGCUGAAGGGGAGGAGGGAUUCCACUCGGGCUCACCAUCAUGAACAGAGUGGUCACGAACCCAGAGAAACUUGUCAUUGUCACCAGAAAUGCUACUUGGCUGCUUCCUUCCUGAACUUGGGCUGAGGACUGAAAUGGAAAUGACCCAGUAAGGAAGGAAAAUGAGCACAGCCUGCCCUAGUCACAUAAUGAAAAUACAUACGCUGGCCAAAGAUCAUUCAUUUAUCAUUUAGUCAACAGAUACCGAACACCUUCUAUGUGUCAAGAUACUGGUGUUUUAACAAAUGAACACGGAAUAUCUGCUGUUGGGGAGCUCAUGUCUGAUGGGAAACACUGACAAAGUGUGGUGGACAUUAUGUACUGAAAUUAUAUUGAAAUUAUACUACCUGCAGGAUCUGGGAAACCUAUAUCCAAGCAGAAGUGAUGGCUGAACAGUGAGGCAGCUAAGGCUGAGAGAAAUGGAUCACCUUCUCCAAAUUCUCUCAGGUGGCUGAUGACAGGCUUGGAACUGGAGAAAUCAGUCAGGAGUAAAAUCCUGACUUCCUGCAACCACCUCCUUCCUGAGGCUUCCUGGAGCCCGACAGUUGGUGUUUUCUUCUCUAGCUCUUGCUCAUCCAGUAUGAAUAGUUGAUUUUUGCUCUUUCCUGCACUGAUCCAUUUUUACCUCAGUAGAAUUCACAUUUAUCCCUAAAGCCAGACAUCCUCCCUAUUUCCCUCUGAGGAUUGACAUCCAGAUAAACUGAGCUGAUAGAUAACUGUGCUUUGACAGUCAUACUGUAACACAGAUCUCAGUACAGACACUGCUGUCUAAGUAACAUACUAAUUCAGACAGUGAAGGGAACAAUCACUAAUCAAUACUAGGCUCUGUGGGGGUGAGGGAUGUAUUCAUGUACAGCACAGCCCAUCCCUAAGGACAUUCGUGGAAAAUGGGUGAUACAAGGUUAAAGACGGAAGAAAGCAAGAGUUUACAUCACUUAUGGAGGAAAUGUCCUCUCCGAACCCUGUCUGUUCAAGCACAACAUAUUAAUAGCAUAAUAUUAAUGAUGGCUCAACCAUUUGAUUUUAUAUCCAGGCACUGUCGGUUACUUUCUUUAUGACUCUGGGCAAACUGCUCAAAUUUUCUGAUGAUGGAAAAACUCAGUUGUGAUAGGGUGCACAGAUGGGGCACCUCAGUUGUGAGAUCGGAAUGGUAAGAAUAGUACUGAUUUCAUGCUUCACUGUGAGGAUAAGAUAGAUAACCAUACAUAUAAAGUACUUGCCACAGUGGCUGCUCCAGAGGAAGCAGUGAUUAAAUAUUAGGCUUAUGAUUCUUAUCCAGUUCCAACCCUUUUCUGUCUGCAAAUCCUUCCCAGAUCUCCCAUCAGAACUCAUCUCUUUACUUCUGUAUCCUCAUAUCAAUAUGGGUAUGCCUCCCAUCACAUUCUGGACCUGGGUGUUAGUUUCUGGCACAGAAAAAAAAAAA